rnacentral:lncRNA from 1 species
UUAAAGUAUGUUGGUUCAAAUGCACAUGUCAUUGCCCUUUCAUCACAUUUUGGCUACCACUCUGUUUUAAGUAUUGAGGACUUCAUUACUUACAAACACCGUAUUACUUCCUUUGAUGAUCCAUUUCUACCUAACUUUGUGGACCCCCAAUUUGACUAUAUUGAUAUUUCUACUUUAAUACCAUCUAUCACAACACACAAAGAUAAAAUUGAUGUUAUUUUAGAUGAACGUGUUGUAUUGACCAAUGAUGGCAAAAUUCAGUACUUCCUUGUUUGUUGGGUAGAUCGACGUACUUCUUAUACUCCUCAUUAUGUACAAUCAUGUGAAAAUUUUGAAGAUGAGGUGCAUGAGUAUUGGUUAUUUGAAGUCCAGUAUCAGUACUUGGUUAGAAGGAAAGAUGGCCCCCCUUGGUCAGAUCAUAUUCUUGGGAAUAAGCUACAGUUUUCAGUACUAUCAAUUAUGGAAUUUCGUUACUUGGUUCGUCAGAAAGAUCGUCCC